AGCAAGCGCACGAAGGCGUACACGGCGGCCGAGGACAAGCUUCUUUGCGAGUGUUGGCGAGACAUUGGGCAAGACCCCAAGACGGGCGCCGAGCAAAAGCAUUCAACCUUUUGGAUUCGUUUCCACCAAGAGAUUCAUGAACGCAAGAAGUUUCCGCCUUACCAAUUUGUGAGCAUGCGCGGGUGGGUCUCCAUUUCCAAGCGGUGGAUGGUGAUCCAACAAGAGUGCAACAAGUUCUGCGUCACUAUUGAGAGCGUCAAGGCCCGCCCCAUGAGCAGCAUCGGCAUGCAAGACAUGAUAUGCUAG
rnacentral:rRNA from 1 species